AGCUUUUUAGUUUAAGUGUAAAAUUUUUGUGUGUGGAGCAAAGGAUUUUAGAAGCUU
rnacentral:tRNA from 1 species